GGCUCAGGAUGAACGCCAGCGGCAGGCUUAACACAUGCAAGUCGAGGGGCAACGCGAGUAGCAAUACUUGGCGGCGACCGGCGCAAGGGUGCGUAACGCGUGAGCAACAUGCCCAUAUCAGGGGGAUAAUCCAGGGAAACUUGGUCUAAUACCCCAUAGUAAUUUUUGUAAGGCAUCUUAUAAGAUUUUAAAGCUUUGGUGGAUACGGAUUGGCUCGCGUGACAUUAGCUGGAUGGUAAGGUAACGGCUUACCAUGGCUAUGAUGUCUAGGGGUUCUGAGAGGAAGGUCCCCCACACUGGAACUGAGACACGGUCCAGACUCCUACGGGAGGCAGCAGUGAGGAAUAUUGGACAAUGGAUGGAAAUCUGAUCCAGCCAUGCCGCGUGAAGGAAAAGAAGGUCCUAUGGAUUGUAAACUUCUUUUGUAUGGGAGCAAUAAGGCCUACGUGUAGGUUGAUGAGAGUACCAUACGAAUAAGCACCGGCUAACUCCGUGCCAGCCGCUGC
rnacentral:rRNA from 1 species